rnacentral:rRNA from 1 species
GAUGAACGCUAGCUACAGGCUUAACACAUGCAAGUCGAGGGGCAGCAUUCUGAUAGCUUGCUAUCAGUGAUGGCGACCGGCGCACGGGUGAGUAACGCGUAUCCAACCUGCCUGUCACUCAGGAAUAGCCCGGUGAAAACCGGAUUAAGUCCUGAUGAUAUCAUUAGAGGGCAUCUGACGAUGAUUAAAGAUCCGUCGCUUGCGGAUGGGGAUGCGUCUGAUUAGUUAGUCGGCGGGGUAACGGCCCACCGAGACGACGAUCAGUAGGGGUUCUGAGAGGAAAGUCCCCCACAUUGGAACUGAGACACGGUCCAAAACUCCUACGGGAGGCAGCAGUGAGGGAAUAUUGGUCAAUGGGCGGAAGCCUGAACCAGCCAAGUAGCGUGCAGGACGACGGCCCCUAAUGGGGUUGUAAACUGCUUUUANGCGGGGAUAAAGUGGGCCACGCGUGGCCUUUUGCAGGUACCGCAUGAA